GAUGAAGAACGCAGCGAAAUGCGAUACGUAAUGUGAAUUGCAGAAUUCAGUGAAUCAUCGAAUCUUUGAACGCAUAUUGCGCUCUCUGGUAUUCCGGAGAGAAUGCUUGUUUGAGUAUCAGUAAACACCUCAACUUCCAUAUCUUUUUUGAAAUGGGAGUUGGACUUGAGUGAUCCCAACGCUUUUCCUCACCGAAAAGUGGCGGGUUACUUGAAAUGCAGGUGCAGCUGGACUUUUCUCUGAGCUAUAAGCAUAUCUAUUUAGUCUGCCUAAAAAACAGAUUAUUACCUUUGCUGCAGCUAACAUAAAGGAGAUUAGUUCUUGUGCUGACUGAUGCAGGAUUCACAAAGACAGCUUCGGCCGACUUUGUAAACUCGAUCUCAAAUCAAGUAAGACUACCCGCUGAACUUAAGCAUAUCAAUAAGCGGAGGA
rnacentral:misc_RNA from 1 species